rnacentral:sRNA from 1 species
AAGACUUGAACAAAAAAA